UAAGAUGACAGUGAUUUUGUUCAGAAUCCAGAACUUUUGUUGUCUUAAAUGUAAUUCACUUGCAUUAUCAGGUUACAGCAGUGUCCUCUUCUUCUCUUUUUCCCCUAUAAGCUGAAAUCUGUCUGCAAUCAUUAGCUUUUCUGUGUUCUCUGUGAAUACUAUGGACCCUGCCCUCUGGCUUUUAAAAGGACUACCUUCUGCUGGUUUCAGAUUUCACUGUUCUAACUUAGAUACUGCUGGAUGCCAUCAUAAUAACUUGCCUUUGAGAUUUGUGGCUACAAUUAGGUGGUAUAAUGAAGCACAUUAGGAAAUGCGUUGCAUCUGCCUCUAAUUGUGUUUCAUUAGGCAAAAUAAAUUAAUUUUCAA
rnacentral:lncRNA from 1 species